CCUACGUGGUGCAGCAGUGAGGAAUAUUGGUCAAUGGACGCAAGUCUGAACCAGCCAUGCCGCGUGCAGGAAGACGGCUCUAUGAGUUGUAAACUGCUUUUGUACGAGGGUAAACGCAGAUACGCGUAUCUGUCUGAAAGUCUCGUACGAAUAAGGAUCGGCUAACUCCGUGCAAGCAGCCGCGGUAAUACGGAGGAUUCAAGCGUUAUCCGGAUUUAGUGGGUUUAAAGGGUGCGUAGGCGGUCGGAUAAGUUAGAGGUGAAAUCCCGGGGCUCAACUUCGGCAUUGCCUCUGAUACUGUCGGGCUAGAGAGUAGUUGCGGUAGGCGGAAUGUAUGGUGUAGCGGUGAAAUGCAUAGAGAUCAUACAGAACACCGAUUGCGAAGGCAGCUUACCAAGCUACGACUGACGUUGAGGCACGAAAGCGUGGGGAGCAAACAGGAUUAGAUACCCGUGUAGUC
rnacentral:rRNA from 1 species